GNNACGCUGGCGGCGUGCUUACACAUGCAAGUCGAACGAUGNAAAGCGGGAGCUUGCUCCUGCCGGAUUAGUGGCGAACGGGUGAGUAACACGUGAGUAACCUGCCCUUGACUCUGGGAUAAGCGUUGGAAACGACGUCUAAUACCGGAUACGAGCUAGGACCGCAUGGUCACUAGUUGGAAAGAACUUCGGUCAAGGAUGGACUCGCGGCCUAUCAGCUAGUUGGUGAGGUAAUGGCUCACCAAGGCGACGACGGGUAGCCGGCCUGAGAGGGUGACCGGCCACACUGGGACUGAGACACGGCCCAGACUCCUACGGGAGGCAGCAGUGGGGAAUAUUGCACAAUGGGCGCAAGCCUGAUGCAGCAACGCCGCGUGAGGGACGACGGCCUUCGGGUUGUAAACCUCUUUUAGCAGGGAAGAAGCGAAAGUGACGGUACCUGCAGAAAAAGCACCGGCUAACUACGUGCCAGCAGCCGCGGUAAUACGUAGGGUGCAAGCGUUGUCCGGAAUUAUUGGGCGUAAAGAGCUCGUAGGCGGUUUGUCGCGUCUGCUGUGAAAAUCCGAGGCUCAACCUCGGACCUGCAGUGGGUACGGGCAAACUAGAGUGCGGUAGGGGAGAUUGGAAUUCCUGGUGUAGCGGUGGAAUGCGCAGAUAUCAGGAGGAACACCAAUGGCGAAGGCAGAUCUCUGGGCCGUAACUGACGCUGAGGAGCGAAAGCGUGGGGAGCGAACAGGAUUAGAUACCCUGGUAGUCCACGCCGUAAACGGUGGGAACUAGAUGUGGGGUCCGUUCCACGGAUUCCGUG
rnacentral:rRNA from 1 species